rnacentral:rRNA from 1 species
AGCAACAAAUGCCCUGCUUCCAGGAAAAGCCUCUAAGCCUCAGGUAACAUCAAAUCGUACCCCAAACCGACACAGGUGGUCAGGUAGAGAAUACCAAGGCGCUUGAGAGAACUCGGGUGAAGGAACUAGGCAAAAUGGUGCCGUAACUUCGGGAGAAGGCACGCUGACACGUAGGUGAAGUGGUUUACCCAUGGAGCUGAAGUCAGUCGAAGAUACCAGCUGGCUGCAACUGUUUAUUAAAAACACAGCACUGUGCAAACACGAAAGUGGACGUAUACGGUGUGACGCCUGCCCGGUGCCGGAAGGUUAAUUGAUGGGGUCAGCGCAAGCGAAGCUCCUGAUCGAAGCCCCGGUAAACGGCGGCCGUAACUAUAACGGUCCUAAGGUAGCGAAAUUCCUUGUCGGGUAAGUUCCGACCUGCACGAAUGGCGUAAUGAUGGCCAGGCUGUCUCCACCCGGGACUCAGUGAAAUUGAACUCGCUGUGAAGAUGCAGUGUACCCGCGGCAAGACGGAAAGACCCCGUGAACCUUUACUAUAGCUUGACACUGAACACUGGUCCUUGAUGUGCAGGAUAGGUGGGAGGCUUUGAAGUGUGGACGCCAGUCUGCAUGGAGCCAUCCUUGAAAUACCACCCUUUAAUGGCUGGUGUUCUAACGUGGGCCCGUGAACCGGGUUGCGGACAGUGUCUGGUGGGUAGUUUGACUGGGGCGGUCUCCUCCUAAAGAGUAACGGAGGAGCACGAAGGUUGGCUAAUCCUGGUCGGACAUCAGGAGGUUAGUGCAAUGGCAUAAGCCAGCUUGACUGCGAGCGUGACGGCGCGAGCAGGUGCGAAAGCAGGUCAUAGUGAUCCGGUGGUUCUGAAUGGAAGGGCCAUCGCUCAACGGAUAAAAGGUACUCCGGGGAUAACAGGCUGAUACCGCCCAAGAGUUCAUAUCGACGGCGGUGUUUGGCACCUCGAUGUCGGCUCAUCACAUCCUGGGGCUGAAGUAGGUCCCAAGGGUAUGGCUGUUCGCCAUUUAAAGUGGUACGCGAGCUGGGUUUAGAACGUCGUGAGACAGUUCGGUCCCUAUCUGCCGUGGGCGCUGGAAGAUUGAGGGGGGCUGCUCCUAGUACGAGAGGACCGGAGUGGACGCAUCACUGGUGUUCGGGUUGUCAUGCCAAUGGCACUGCCCGGUAGCUACAUGCGGAAGAGAUAAGUGCUGAAAGCAUCUAAGCACGAAACUUGCCCCGAGAUGAAUCUUCCCUGAGCCUUUAAGGCUCCUGAAGGAACGUUGAAGACGACGACGUUGAUAGGCCGGGUGUGUAAGCGCAGCGAUGCGUUGAGCUAACCGGUACUAAUGAACCGU